rnacentral:rRNA from 1 species
UGUCCAUGGCCGUACCACCCCGAAUAUACCCAAUCUUGUCUGAUCUUGAAAGCUAAGUAGGGUCAGGUGUGGUUAGUACUUGGAUGGAGACAUUGAACACAAAGACAUUACAU